rfam:Xenopus tropicalis strain Nigerian scaffold_565_contig_2, whole genome shotgun sequence.
AUACUUACCUGGCAGGGGAGAUACCAUGAUCAUGAAGGUGGUUCUCCCAGGGCGAGGCUCAUCCAUUGCACUCCGGCUGUGCUGACCCCUGCGAUUUCCCCAAAUGCGGGAAACUCGACUGCAUAAUUUCUGGUAGUGGGGGACUGCGUUCGCGCUUUCCCCUG